rnacentral:rRNA from 1 species
AGGGGAUCUUCGGACCUUUCGCUAUGAGAUGAGCCUGCGUUAGAUUAGCUAGUUGGUAGGGUAAAGGCCUACCAAGGCGACGAUCUAUAGCUGGUCUGAGAGGACGAUCAGCCACACUGGGACUGAGACACGGCCCAGACUCCUACGGGAGGCAGCAGUGGGGAAUAUUGGACAAUGGGCGAAAGCCUGAUCCAGCAAUACCGCGUGUGUGAAGAAGGCCUUAGGGUUGUAAAGCACUUUCAAUUGGGAGGAAAACCUGCCGGCCAAUACCCGGUAGCUUGACAUUACCUUUAGAAGAAGCACCGGCUAACUCCGUGCCAGCAGCCGCGGUAAUACGGAGGGUGCGAGCGUUAAUCGGAAUUACUGGGCGUAAAGCGUGCGUAGGCGGUUCGUUAAGUCAGAUGUGAAAGCCCUGGGCUCAACCUGGGAACUGCAUUUGAAACUGGCGGACUAGAGUUUAGUAGAGGGGAGUGGAAUUUCAGGUGUAGCGGUGAAAUGCGUAGAUAUCUGAAGGAACGCCAGUGGCGAA